AACCUCCGCCAACUCAGCCGACCAACCCGCUGCUGAGCCGGCAAAGGGAAGUGACGUCUGUCUCUCCCUUUUUUCUCUCCCGCUCCCUUGUCUGUUCUCUCCCAAAGAAGCUGGUCCUUAGCUUCUAUUGCGGAGCAACCUUUCGGCGACCAGCUGGAGCCUGGGCACCCUUCUUCAAAUAAUGGCCUUUAAUUCGCAGACGAGAACGUUUAGGAUGACAAAAGAAACUUUUUUUUCACGUCCUUACCCUUGUGAUGAAGCAUUCCGCUUACAUAUAUAUAUGUAAUGUUGGGUUUCUUCAGAUAUAUAUAUAUAUAUGUAUAUGUGUAUAAAUAUCCAAAUAUCCUAAAAGACACGGCCCUUCAUGAUUCCAUGCCAUUAGACAUUUAUAGGACCAUGCAUGGUGAUCUCCUCCACACAAAAAUAAAUGCUGGUGCAGAACAGGGAGGAUCGCAGCGCAUUUCGGCCAAGACAGGUGAGACUGCGGUUUUGACCUGCGGGCCUCGAUGAAUUGCGUUAGGACACCUGGGCUCCGGGAGAGCCGUUCCACUCCGCAAAGUAAGCGUGUUAUGUCUACAACCCAACGGGGACGCGCUAAGAGCCCUAAAGGCCCUGCUUUCAUCCCAAAGAACAGCCCCCGCCUGCAUAGUUUGUACCCGGCUCUAUGAGGUGAGAACACAUUCCCCGCUAGCACAGAAAUCCUACAGACUCCUGAGGGGGCUGCAGCUAGAAGCAGAGGCUGUGUGAAAUGUGACUGGGGGCUAGGGAAAAACACGUAGAUUUUCACAGACCCUGAGAACCCAAGAGACUGCAGACCAUGGGCAGACAAAUCUCUGCAAAAAGCAGCCCCGCCUAGAUAAAGGAAGAGCUGUGCGGCCUUCGCGCUAGCUAGCUUGUGUAAAGGUCGACGAUUCUUAUUUCUCCCGGGGCGGGGAGAAAGCGACAUAUUACUACUAUUUCUCAGCCUUCGACUGUGAGAGUAACGAUUAAGACUAAAACACAAGCCAGUAAAAAAAACAAGUAACCCUUGCUGUGUAGACUAUUCUUUAAACUACAAAAAAUCAGGGGAAAGCGCGAACGCAGUCCCCCACUACCACAAAUUAUGCAGUCGAGUUUCCCACAUUUGGGGAAAUCGCAGGGGUCAGCACAUCCGGAGUGCAAUGGAUAAGCCUCGCCCUG